AAUUCAAGAUGGAUUAGAUUCUUGGAUGCAGCCCGAUUACUUCCCAGUAUUGAUGACUAUGUAUCUUUCUUAUACUGGUAUUGUUGCCAUCCCAGAAAGUAUUAGUAGAUUUACUAGAUUACUAUAUCUUGAAAUUGAAAAUUGCAAAAAGCUUCGGGAAAUUCCGAGACUUCCACAAUCUAUAAGAACUGUAAUGGCAAUGAAUUGCGAACAGCUGGAUACACAAUCAUCAAGCAGAUUAUUGAAUCAGUUUGGAGAAAUUCUAGAGAUUCUAUCAAAUACAAUCGCUGAAGCUGCAACAAGCUUUGAUUCCAAAUGGGAAAUUGAGAAGGAUCUUUCUCUUAUACUACCAGUAACUGAGAUUCCAAAGUGGUUGAAAUUCAAUCAUCAGAGUGUUGGAAAUCCUGUAUCAAUCUUGGUCGGUCCCAAAUUUUCAAAUUUGGUUGUUUGUAUUGCUUUUCCAUCGAAGGAUGUGCCCAACUAUAUAUGGGACGAGUGGGAUGUUUACAUUUACAUUUACAUUUCCAUCAAUGGUAAAAGACAAUUGAUAAGCAAUAAGCUGUGGGAGAAGAGUAAUUAUGACCAUGUAUGGUUAAUGUAUUGUAAAGUGAAUAUAUCAAAUCCAUCUGAAGAGAAUUGCAUUGAGAUUAAGGUUAAGGUUAUACUUGGAGAGGAUGAAUCUAUUUCACUAAAUAGAUUGAGGAUUUAUGUAGAAUGCAUCUGUUGUCCUCAGAAACCCAAUGCAUCUAUGGAUCGAUGUGCUUUCAACAAUGGGGAAGAAGAUUCAGGCCGUGUUGGAAUCCGACGCCGACUGCGAAGAAGAAACCAUCGACUGACCCAUGCUAGACGUCCCCAAAAACACUACCUUGGAUGGCUUCGAGUUCGAUACCAACUCUGGAAACCAAGCUCCAAACCCUGGAGACGGAUAAUUACCAAUGGGUUUCAUGAUCAGGGUUCAUCUUCAAUCCUCAAUACCUUUCUCAAUGAUGAUACCAAUGCCAAUCUGUAUCCACCAUCAAAGAAGACAAAAACACAACUUUGAAGAGAAGGGAGCUAAAGUGAAGUUGACAGAAUUGGGAAGAUAUACUCAAGCUUCCUCUGCUUCAGAACUUGACUAAGGUGAAACCAAGUGACCCUGAUGUUUUCCAUUUGCUUGGAGAAGUCAAAUACGAAUUCAAAGGGAGAAAAAUGAUGGAGAAAGAGAUAAAGAGGGCUGUCCUGCUUCAUUCUUGUUAGAUAGCUGUGGAAGCAUAUUCAAUGAGAAGAGCUAGUGAAGGAAUUCUACCUAUGGCUAGAAGUGUUAGAAACAAUGGAGCUAUUGCAAGAGAAUAGUCGGCUAGUAGUGCUAGAAAGAAUGGAGCAAUUGCAAGAGAAGAGUCUACUGGAAGUUCUAGAAAGAAUGGAGCAAUUACAAGAGAAGAGUCAGAUGGAAGUGCUAGAAACGAUGGAGCUAUUGCAAGGGAAGAGUUAGCUAGAAGUGCUAAAAUUUAUGGAGCUAUUCCAAGAGAAGAGUCAGUUGGAAAUGCUAGAAAUUAUGGAGCAAUUACAAGAGAAGAGUCUGGAACAAGUGAAAGUGGUGGCUCAUGAGUUGGAAAUAAGAAAGGGCGAUGGGCUACAUGGAAUCUAAAUCCAGCAAAACUUUUUAUAAAGGAAAGGUUCCCAAUCCUAUGGAAAAAGGGAAGACUAGUAGGGAAAUACUCUACAGAUUCAAAUGGAGUGUACUGCCCUUGUUGGCGGAUUAGUAUGGUACCUUUACAAGUCAAAGAUUGGAGAGAGGUGCCUCAUCAAAACAAAAGAAUGCUAUUUGAUUAUAUAUUGGUGCGUUAUAUAAAAGUACUUUGAAAUAAAAGUUUACUUUAUAAUGAACAAAUGUAAUCCUUAUUAGUUUAAAUGCUUUGUACAUCCUAGUAUUAUUUUAAAACGCUCUAUGAAUUCCCAUAGGAGGGGUUGAUUCCUACCCACUAGUUGAAUCAAUAUGGCUGGUUCAGGUGUUUUCAUGUUGAGAUAGGGUGCUUAAGGCUGGCUAAUACAGAUGCAUUUGUGACAGCUUUAAAAGCAAAGCAAAAGUACACACCAAGAAUUUGCAUUUGAUUGUGCACUAGAAGUUGUAAGCAUCACAUGCUUUAUAAUUUUGAUUACAGUUUAUUGCAUUUGAAUGGCUCUUAACUUUUUCGUAAUUCUUGUUUAGAUGGUGAUAAUUGUAAUUGAUCCUCAUAAAUGACUGAUUUUGUCAUCAUCAUUCAGAUGAUCUUUCUAGCUUGUCUUUCAAAUACUAUAUGGGCCAUUUAUCUUCUCUUGAUCCUUUGCACAUUUAUUUUUUUAAAGGAAUAUCAUGGAUCAACUAUUUAUUAAUGGGACCACGAUGGGUUUGCCUUAUUUAAUGGCAUGACAUCUAUGUGAGUGUUUGAUUUUAAUGUUUCAGGUAUCAAGGAAAAAAAAAUGAAAGUAAAGAAUCUGAUUUUAGCAGUUCAGACAAGUUUCUUAGCUGAUUUAUACCUGGAUGGUGGUGUGGAUCUUUCAAUUUCAUCCAAUUCUAAGUUCUAACACAAAAACCCAUUUCAGAUUUCUUGACUUGGAGAGGCUAAAUGGGAUUGAGCAGUAUUGCCCUUUCUCCACAUAGCUUAGCAGCACCUUGUGGCAGAGGGUGGAAAAGUUGAAAUGGCAGCUGCUUGUGGGAUGGUGGCUGGGUAUGAUGGUUUUAGCGUAGGGGUAGAGAUGUUGAUUGAUGUAGGCAUAAAAGCAUGGAGAAAUCGGACAUUCAUGGAGGUCUAAUAAGCUCAGAAGAAGAUAUUGGGCACUCCAUCAAACUGUAAGACAAGAGUCAAGACCUGUGUGGUUGCUAGAGGGAGGUUCAAGAACUAUUGUUUUUUUAUAAAGUCAAGACCUGUGAGGUUCUUAAUUCUUAGUGAUAUUCUUUGUUUUGGAAGUCAUAAGUUUGCCGCAAUUUGCUUAGAUUCUUGUAACAAUGAGAUGGCUAUUUGUUGUGUUCCUUGCCAAUCAGGGCACAAAAGUUUGGUUGAUCUAUGCUUUUAAAUCAAACAGGUCUAUGCUAGUGCUUGCCACCUUCUAUUUAGUCAUGUUUUGUAAGGUCUUUUUAAAAAAUCUUUCAUAAAUUGGAAGGUCUUCUUUUUUCUGUUU